UACAGAGGUCUCAAGCGUUGUUCGGAUUCAUUGGGCGUAAAGGGUGCGUAGGCGGCGCGGUAAGUCGGGUGUGAAAUCUUGGAGCUUAACUCCGAAACUGCAUUCGAUACUGCCGUGCUUGAGGACUGGAGAGGAGACUGGAAUUUACGGUGUAGCGGUGAAAUGCGUAGAUAUCGUAAGGAAGACCAGUGGCGAAGGCGGGUCUCGUGGACAGUUCCUGACGCUGAGGCACGAAGGCCAGGGGGAGCAAACGGGG
rnacentral:rRNA from 1 species